rnacentral:rRNA from 1 species
CCAACGAGUUACGUUAAGUAGCAAGGUUAAGCACUUAAGGUGCGGAGCCGUAGCGAAAGCGAGUUUUAACUGAGCGUUCAGUUACUUGACGUAGUCCCGGAACCGGUCGACCUACCCAUGGGCAUGUGGAAGCGAAAGUAGAAUUCCGUGGAGGUCGGAACCAUCGAGCGUUGAAAAGCGCGGGGAUGACUUGUGGGUAGGGGUGAAAUUCCAAUCGGGGCCGGAGAUAGCUGGUUCUCCCCGAAAGAGCUUUAGGGCUUGCCUCAAGGUGAGGGAUACGGAGGUAGGGCACUGAAUGUCCUAGGGGGUAUUGCACCUACCGAAGACUAUCAAACUCCGAAUGCCGUCAUCUUAUACUUGGGAGUCAGACUGUGGGUGAUAAGAUUCAUAGUCGAAAGGGCAACAGCCCAGAUCGUCAGCUAAGGUCCCUAAAUGUAAGUUAAGUGGUAAAGGAUGUGGGAUUGCACAGACAACCAGGAUGUUGGCUUAGAAGCAGCCACUCAUUCAAAGAGUGCGUAAUAGCUCACUGGUCGAGUGAUCCUGCGCCGAAGAUUUCCGGGGCUAAAACUUACUACCGAAGCUACGGCAUCAGUAAUGAUGGGUAGGGGAGCUUCCCAUACGGGUUGAAGCAUGACCGUAAGGACAUGUGGACAGUAUGGGAGUGAGAAUGUUGGCAUGAGUAGCGAGAUGUGGGUG